rnacentral:rRNA from 1 species
AGAGUUUGAUCAUGGCUCAGAGCGAACGCUGGCGGAAUGCUUAACACAUGCAAGUCGCACGCCCCGGCAACGGGGAGUGGCGGACGGGUGAGGAACGCGUAGGAACAUGUCCAGAGGUGGGGGACAACCCUGGGAAACCGGGGCUAAUACCGCAUACGGCCCGAGGGCCAAAGCCGAAAGGCGCCUUUGGAGCGGCCUGCGUCCGAUUAGCUUGUUGGCGGGGUAACGGCCCACCAAGGCGACGAUCGGUAGCUGGUCUGAGAGGACGAUCAGCCACACUGGGACUGAGACACGGCCCAGACUCCUACGGGAGGCAGCAGUGGGGAAUAUUGGGCAAUGGGCGCAAGCCUGACCCAGCAAUUCCGCGUGGGUGAAGAAGGUCUUCGGAUUGUAAAGCCCUUUCGGCGGGGACGAUGGUGACGGUACCCGCAGAAGAAGCCCCGGCCAACUUCGUGCCAGCAGCCGCGGUAAUACGAAGGGGGCUAGCGUUGCUCGGAAUCAUUGGGCGUAAAGGGCGCGUAGGCGGCGCAGCUAGUCAGGCGUGAAACCCCCGGGCUCAACCUGGGGACUGCGUUUGAUACGGCUGUGCUAGAGGAUGGAAGAGGGCCGCGGAAUUCCCAGUGUAGAGGUGAAAUUCGUAGAUAUUGGGAAGAACACCGGUGGCGAAGGCGGCGGCCUGGUCCAUUACUGACGCUGAGGCGCGACAGCGUGGGGAGCAAACAGGAUUAGAUACCCCAGUAGUCC